rnacentral:rRNA from 1 species
GUGGGGAAUAUUGCGCAAUGGACGAAAGUCUGACGCAGCGACGCCGCGUGAGGGAUGAAGGUUUUCGGAUCGUAAACCUCUGUCAGGAGGGAAGAAAGCGCAUGGCGCCAAUCAGCCAUGCGUUGACGGUACCUCCAAAGGAAGCGCCGGCUAACUCCGUGCCAGCAGCCGCGGUAAUACGGAGGGCGCGAGCGUUAAUCGGAAUUACUGGGCGUAAAGCGCGCGUAGGCUGUUGUGUAAGUUGGGGGUGAAAUCCCACGGCUCAACCGUGGAACAGCCCUUGAUACUGCGCGACUUGAAUCCGGGAGAGGGUGGCGGAACUCCAUGUGUAGCGGUAAAAUGCGUAGAUAUAUGGAGGAACACCAGUGGCGAAGGCGGCUUACUGGACUGUAACUGACGUUGAGGCUCGAAAGCGUGGGGAGCAAACAGGAUUAGAAACCCUUGUAGUCC